GACGAGCGCUGGCGGCGUGCCUAAUACAUGCAAGUAGAACGCUGAAGCUUGGUGCUUGCACCGAGCGGAUGAGUUGCGAACGGGUGAGUAACGCGUAGGUAACCUGCCUGGUAGCGGGGGAUAACUAUUGGAAACGAUAGCUAAUACCGCAUAAGAGUAGAUGUUGCAUGACAUUUGCUUAAAAGGUGCAAUUGCAUCACUACCAGAUGGACCUGCGUUGUAUUAGCUAGUUGGUGAGGUAACGGCUCACCAAGGCAACGAUACAUAGCCGACCUGAGAGGGUGAUCGGCCACACUGGGACUGAGACACGGCCCAGACUCCUACGGGAGGCAGCAGUAGGGAAUCUUCGGCAAUGGACGGAAGUCUGACCGAGCAACGCCGCGUGAGUGAAGAAGGUUUUCGGAUCGUAAAGCUCUGUUGUAAGAGAAGAACGAGUGUGAGAGUGGAAAGUUCACACUGUGACGGUAUCUUACCAGAAAGGGACGGCUAACUACGUG
rnacentral:rRNA from 1 species